AUUGCUGUGAUGAGCUGUUAACACGUAAGAAGGCCUGCUCUUUGAAUCAGAUCUUCAAUGAAAUAUCAUUGUUACGCUUGGCUUCUGAGCUUU